GACGAACGCUGGCGGCGUGCCUAAUACAUGCAAGUUGAGCGCUGAAGGUUGGUACUUGUACCAACUGGAUGAGCAGCGAACGGGUGAGUAACGCGUGGGGAAUCUGCCUUUGAGCGGGGGACAACAUUUGGAAACGAAUGCUAAUACCGCAUAAAAACUUUAAACACAAGUUUUAAGUUUGAAAGAUGCAAUUGCAUCACUCAAAGAUGAUCCCGCGUUGUAUUAGCUAGUUGGUGAGGUAAAGGCUCACCAAGGCGAUGAUACAUAGCCGACCUGAGAGGGUGAUCGGCCACAUUGGGACUGAGACACGGCCCAAACUCCUACGGGAGGCAGCAGAAGGGAAUCUUCGGCAAUGGACGAAAGUCUGACCGAGCAACGCCGCGUGAGUGAAGAAGGUUUUCGGAUCGUAAAACUCUGUUGGUAGAGAAGAACGUUGGUGAGAGUGGAAAGCUCAUCAAGUGACGGUAACUACCCAGAAAGGGACGGCUAACUACGU
rnacentral:rRNA from 1 species